rnacentral:rRNA from 1 species
AUGAACGCUGGCGGCGUGCCUAAUACAUGCAAGUCGAGCGAACAGACGAGGAGCUUGCUCCUCUGACGUUAGCGGCGGACGGGUGAGUAACACGUGGAUAACCUACCUAUAAGACUGGGAUAACUUCGGGAAACCGGAGCUAAUACCGGAUAAUAUAUUGAACCGCAUGGUUCAAUAGUGAAAGACGGUUUUGCUGUCACUUAUAGAUGGAUCCGCGCCGCAUUAGCUAGUUGGUAAGGUAACGGCUUACCAAGGCAACGAUGCGUAGCCGACCUGAGAGGGUGGUCGGCCACACUGGAACUGAGACACGGUCCAGACUCCUACGGGAGGCAGCAGUAGGGAAUCUUCCGCAAUGGGCGAAAGCCUGACGGAGCAACGCCGCGUGAGUGAUGAAGGUCUUCGGAUCGUAAAAAUCUGUUAUUAGGGAAGAACAAAUGUGUAAGUAACUAUGCACGUCUUGACGGUACCUAAUCAGAAAGCCACGGCUAACUACGUG